rnacentral:rRNA from 1 species
AGAGCGAACGUUGGCGGCAGGCCUAACACAUGCAAGUCGAACGGACCCUUCGGGGUUAGUGGCGGACGGGUGAGUAACACGUGGGAACGUGCCUUUAGGUUCGGAAUAGCUCCUGGAAACGGGUGGUAAUGCCGAAUGUGCCCUUCGGGGGAAAGAUUUAUCGCCUUUAGAGCGGCCCGCGUCUGAUUAGCUUGUUGGUGAGGUAAUGGCUCACCAAGGCUACGAUCAGUAGCUGGUCUGAGAGGAUGACCAGCCACAUUGGGACUGAGACACGGCCCAAACUCCUACGGGAGGCAGCAGUGGGGAAUCUUGCGCAAUGGGCGAAAGCCUGACGCAGCCAUGCCGCGUGUAUGAUGAAGGUCUUAGGAUUGUAAAAAUACUUUCACCGGUGAAGAUAAUGACUGUAGCCGGAGAAGAAGCCCCGGACUAACUUCGUGCCAGCAGCCGC